UUAGCAUUUCAAGAGGUUAAGAAAGCAUCCAUGGCCAUGUCCAAACCAGCUGGAUCUUCAGGUCAUUUUCCUCCCCUUGGGCACUCCCCACCUAACCCCCACCCACAGCCCCUUAACGGAAUAAUCCAGUAGUUGGCUGCUUGAAAGAUACUGUAAAUAGCUCCAACAGAGUGCAGUUUGGGGCAGCUUCCAAUUAGCCUUCGCUUGCAGUCUUUUGUUCCCUGCCAAGUUUGUGCAGCGAGCAUCCAACGCCCCGCCCUCUGCUUGGCUCAGAGUCGCAGGGCAGGGAGGAGUCAAGUGUGUGAUCAAGCUGAUAGAUGUCAGCUCCAACGUGUACGGAUGUCCCACCUGAAAGCUGACAAGGGGGAUUAAAAGGUGCUUUCGAAACGGGUGUGCCUGGCAGUGUGGCAGUGAAGGGAGCUUGUUUCCCUGGAGAUGCAUCUGAGCUAAAAACAAAGCUGAUGGCCAAUUAAAAGGACUCACUCCUCUAAACAGACACCAAAAAGAGAACUGAGCCCCUACGAUCACGUGUACAUGAGAGAAACAAUUUUAUUUGAAAGACAGAAAUAUGAACAUGGCCCAAAGUAGAAAAAACAACAGACCCCCGAGAAGGGUCGAGGGAAGAUCGAAGCGUAAAGCAAGAAAUCCUGAAACCUGAAAAAUAUUUCAAAGCGAAGCACUGGGGUUCGGAUCCAGAGACAAGAAAGUGACAAAAAGAACGUGCACGGGAUUACAGAGCUGGGACAGACACAGAACCAGCCAAAAGACAAAGUGUUGGCACAAAGAUUAAAAACAUUUUAACGGAUAAAAGGAGAAGAAAAAGGAUUUAUGGUGACAGAAAGUUUAGAAAAUAAAAAGCAAGUCAAAUGUAAGCCAGCUUGACUGGAGAAAGAAUUCAUUCUGCUGGUCAAACAUUUAAUUUGAUUUUCUCUUUUCUUUCUUCCCCAUCUUCCAGCUCAGCCGCUAAGCACAGGGGAGCAUGCAAAUGUGCUAUCCAUGGCAGAAUGUGCAGGAGGGCUGACCGCCAGUCCCCACAAGGGUGGUGCCAGCGCUGUGAUCAUUCAGGACAACAGGCCUAAGGGCCAUGGGUGAACCAGGGAACAGAGGGACACAGAGCAGAACUGAUCACUUGUACUCCUCCUGUCUUCUGCCUGUUUCCACCAAAUUGUUGCUAAUCCUAUCAUCACUCCACCAGGAACUUAACCUCUUACAAAAGCGCUCCCCACCCACCCUUAGUGCCUUCUUGGCUUCAUUCACCAGCAAUUAAGAAAGGAGGCCAUACAGACCACUGGGUUCCCGGUUGCUAAACUCUGCUUUUAUGUUAACCUCACCACAUUUUCUUUAGAACACAACAGGGACCCCCUCAACUAAAGUGAAAUGGUGCCCCAUGGCCCAAGUGCAUGGCUCUUCAAAAGAGCUUUCCCACAGAGCCCUGGAACCAGCCCCUUCCCUGGUUCAAAGAAGUGAAGGGGAGGGGCCGUGGACCACCCUCCAAGCCCAGAGCUUGCAUUUCCCUCACAAUUCCAGUCCCUCAAGUCUCUCUUUCAGCGAGGAGACUGUUAUUGGCGCCAGAGCGUGUUGCAUUAAGGCUUGCAGGCUGAUAGCAAGCGGGGACAGAGGGGCAGGGGAGGCAACUUGAGGUGGCAGACACCAUUCGCCGCAGUACUGAACCUAAUGGAACAAAAGGAGACACGCAGACACAGAAGGCUGAGACCCUUGACACAGGGCAUCUGUGAAUCUGCACCAACCCUUUGGUGCAACAAGUUUCGAUCUUGGAAAUUCUCUGACUGUUUCUGUUACUUUGCCUGGAAGCCUGUGCUCUGACACCCCCAGUCAUGAGACUUCCUUCCUUCCUUCUCUGUUGAAGAUGCCCUUGCACCGUCUAACUUCCUCUUCAUCUUUAACCAUAUCCCCCAAUUAAAUUCUUCAUCACAUUUCACUGAACAGAGAUUGAGUGCCUACUAUGGGCCAGUCACUGGAUUAGCUGCCGGGAAUACAGCCGUGCAAAAUCAGAAUGGUCUCCACCCCUAAACUCAUUUGCCUUCCUUCUUCCUUCCCUGUGUCCAAGGUUCUUGACAAACUCAACAGACAGGUUUUAGGUGAUUUCAUGAAAUCCAUGUGGUUCACAGUGAUUUGUCCAAAGAGUAACACUCAGACUCUAGAAGAGGCUGAGAAUGUCAGAGUGCCCAGGGUAAAGGGGGACGGGAAGGCCUCAAGCAGCCUGAGAACAGAAAGGGAAUUUGUGGGGAUGGACAAGGGUUAAAAGAAAAAGGAAGGAAGGAUGCAGGACCACGAAAAUGGUGAUUUUAGGAAUUUACCUGCACAUUUUUUAGAUUGUUAUACAUGUCCGGCCAUGCUUCUAUACCCUCAGGUGUUUAUGUCUCUGAUUAUGAGAAAGAAAGUGCUGGUCCCCUAAAACAAUUGCCUAACUCACUGAAACGUCGUGGGAUUUCAGGGGGAAGGCCAUGUCUAACCAACACCCACAAUUUUGUGUUCUUAGAGACUUAGUCUUUUGCUCUGAACUUCUCACUUGCCCAGAAAAUUCAAAAACACAGUGCUAAGAGAGGCCUCCUGAAAAGUCUGACACCUUUGUCCCUAAAUUUAUUUUCUCAUUAAUGAGUAAAGGGGGAUUUAUUGUUUGAAACAAUGUCUGUUUCAUAUCAACUCUUUUUCCCUGUUUUUCCCUCAGAUAGUGGAGCUCCAAAGAGACCAAGAGCAGAUGUUUUAUAUUUCAGGAGAGAGUGGUCUCCCCCAAUUCCUGAAAGAUUCCUGGAAUUCUUAUACUUAACAAAAAUUAGCUACAGAGAAAGAACAUGAAUCAUGAAUUGGGAGCACAGGAAGCCUCUGGGAGCCAAUCAUUUCUCCCCUCCUCCUACCAACCUUCCACCACCCCAAAGUCUGCCCAUUGCCCAAGGAAACACCCUUCUGAAAAAUGAGGCGUCAGGCUCUUCUAGCCGCCCCAAGAGCAGAGCUAUAUUCUGUGAUGGGAGAAGCCAAUCCCUGUGCCAUAAUCUCAAGAGCUAGAAGUGGGAGUCAGACCCGUGUUCCACUCCCAGCUCAGUCUGGGCUUUGUUAAUUACUCAAGUAAUAUAUAUCUCUAUUACUUCAUCUGUCCAGCAGAGAUCACAACAUAUGACCAAUCUCUCUUUUUGGAGUAAUGCAAAGAUCAAGUGAGAGGCAAGUGUAUCCCAAUAAGUUAAAUACUUACAAAAGUGAACAGUAUUUGUACUCAAAUCAUUGACAUCUGGCACUCUGUCUACAAGGACUCUGAGCUAACCAGUACACUUCGGCACGUGUGGACGGAGUAACAGUCACACAGCUCUGAGGCUGACGUCAGCUGGGCUCUCAAAGGUUGCCCAUCCCUGGUCAGAUCCCUUUAGCACUGCUUGUGCAGGCUGUUGCAAGCCUUUAACCAUGCAACAUUUAUUCAAUAAACAUUUACUAAGUACCUGGCACAGUACUUGGCACAUGUUGGGGGCUCUGUAAAUAUCUGUUGAAUAAUGAAUGAAUGAGUGCCUAAUGCAGAGAUGAAAAACACAUGGCAAGUUACCACCAGUCUCUGAUCUUGAAGCCAUAUCAGAAACCAUUAAUGGAUUAAGGCAUUCUUUCUCUCUCUCUCUCUGAAAGCCCUGGAUGUAGCUUAGAAUUCUCAGACUUGACACAGGAAAUGAAACCUCUUUGCCAUUCCUGAUCUAGGCACAAAGAUAAAACACAUCUUAACCCUGGUUUCAAGGAGCUCACAAACUAAUGGGACAAAGACAAUAAAUAGACAAAUGUAACAUAAUAUAUGUUAAGACAGAAGUAUGAGAGUCCAGAGGAAGGCCAUGGCAUUUAAUGAUGUGGAUAAACCAAUAAUUCUCAAAGUUGCCUUGGCUUUUAAGACGCCACUCCCUCCAUGUUUUUCUUCUGCCUCUCUAAUAAUCCUUUUCUUCUUCCAUCCUCUACCCAACUUCCAUAUUUUGGCGCUCUUGAAGUUCUACCCUGCUCCUCUUCUAUUCUGUAUAGACGCUCCUGGAUCAUCACAUUCCCUCUCAUGACAUCAAUUGCCAUUUACAUACUGAUUGCACCCAAAUUUAUAUCCCUAGCCCUGAUCUCUCUCUGCAGCUUCAGACAUAUAUUUCCAACUGCCUCUUAGCACCAACAGGCUGCUCAAAACCUAACUAAUUUACUCUCUUCUCUUAACCUUCCUCAGCAGCUCUAUGCAGCCUCUGAUAAUCUUGAUGUCCUUCAAGGCAUUGCUAUUUAAAUCUUCCAAACUAGAAAUCCUUAGCUUGGCAUCAUCUGACUCUGUGAUGGACUCUGGCCAUAAGGCUGAUACGACUCUAGGCCUCUGUGCAUGCUGUGCACUCAGCCUGGUAUCAACCACGGACUCACUCUGGCAUUCCUUUUGCAUCCUUCAAGAUCCAGAAACCCAAUUCCAAUGUCACUUUGGAAUACUUCCCAAUACCUCAUGGUAGGGUUAGUUAUGCCAUCCUCUGUAAACAAACGAUCUAAUAAGAUUCCAAAAUUCCUCCCUCUCUCAUCAAAAAAAUUAAGUUAUACAUAAGGCAGUAUGAAUGUUUAUGCAACCUAUUUUAUACAAAGUUUGCAAGCAUCAUCAGUUACCACACACAAAUAAAGCAUUAACUGCUUCAUUCGUUCAUUAAAUAAAUAUGAAGUCCUCGUCACAUGGUAGGGAAUCUUCUAGGUGCUAAGGAUAGAGCAACAAGACAAAGUCUCUGCUAUCAUGAAGCUCAUGUUACAGUGGGAAAGACAGACAGUAAGCAAAUACAACAUCAGAUUACCAGACAUCGUAAAUUUAUUACAGAACUCAUUUAUUAGAGGAGAUGAUGGAAGUUGUUUUAAAUAUAGAGAAAAAAGUAUAACUCUUGAAUAAUGAAAAAAAAAAUUUAAAUCCCUUAAAGCGGAAAGGAAUUACUCUCGCCCUGCCCAUGCCCUUCCAUAUGGUCACUAUCUUCAACAUGUUCAUUGUUAUUAUAAGAAAAGAGAGUGUAACUGCAGUAAAAUCUUACCAAUCUAGGGAAAUUGGAGGGAAAGCAUGAAUUACCAAAAAUAUCUGAAUUUAAAGAAUUUUAGUGAAAAAUAAAAUCUUAAAACUUUAUUCGACAUGAACACUAAUUGCUAAUAAACUAUUUCCACAAAGAGGUACCAUCAGACCUACUUUUUUGAACAGAGCGUAAGUUGGAAUUGGUAUGCAAAUAGAUUCUGUUCACUUUAUAAAACCGUUUAAAAGUUUGUUUCUUUGAACCGGCUAUAUAAUCCCGAGCAAUCUUAAGUAUAUAAACCCAGCACUCUAAACAUUGAAAUGUUCAAUAUACAUUUAUAUUAAUAGUUUUAAUUAUUUACAUGCUUGGUCAACUGCUUUUUAUGGGAAGGCUUUCACAAAUCAUCAAACAUUUUAAACAGUGGAGUUUGAAGUAAGGAGAUUGUAUUAUGCCUAAUCUGAAAGAACAACAAACGCCAGCAGCACAGGCAAUCAAGAGGGUUACAGAGGCUUGAGUCCCCUCUCCGCACUGAAAAGCUCCCUGUUUGAGAAAGACAAAUACUGUGCAAUCUCACUUAAAUGUGAAAUCAGAAAAACAAAACAAAACAAAACAAAAAACUCAUAGGAAAAAAGAUCAGAUUUGUGGUUACCAGAGGCAGGGGGUUGGGAGUAGGGGUGAGGGAAAUGGAUGAAAGAGGUCAAACUUCCAGUUAUAAAAUAAACAAGGACUGGGGAUGUAACGUACAACGUGACGGCUAUAGCUAACACUGCUAUGUAAAAAAUGGGAAAGUUAAGAGAGUAAAUCCUAAAAGUUCUCAUCACAAGGAAAAAAACAUUUUGUGUGUGUGUGUGUGUCUAUACAUGAUGAUGGACAUUAAUUAAGCUUAUUAUGGUAAUCAAUUCACAAUCUAUGCAAGUCAAGUCACCAUGCCUUAAACUUAUACUGUGUUGUAUGUCGAUUAUAUCUCAAUAAAACUGGAAAAAAUUUUAAAAAUAUAAAGGUGCCUGUUCGCAUACAGGAAAAGUUCUCCUCUACAGAACUCCUACGGAAAUUAAACUCACACUCCAGCUCUGCCAAAAUAUUUGUUCGUCUGCUUUAGGUCACCCCAACCUCUGUUACAGUCUGGAAGCUCUGCUCAUAGAAUUUUAGAGGACAAAAUAUCAUCUUUCUCCAAAGCAACAAAAGCAUUUUAAUAAAAAUGUUCUUCUGCUACUCUGCCCCUCUCCACCCCUGACACCCACCCCACCUGGCUAACUCCACUCCAUUUUUAGAUACCUGCUCACAUGUCACCUCUUCAGAGAAACUUCUGUGGACCUCACCACCAACAAGAUGGUGAGCUGCCCUCCUAAACACUCCCAUAAUAUUCCACCUGCAUCCCCAUCACAGCAUUUCAUACACUGAACUAGGACAGUUUCCUUGCCUGUCCCCACCAGAAUACUGGUUCCUUAGAUCAGGGUCUAUGAUGUCAUCACUGACAUCUUCCCAGCAACCAACACAGUGCUGGAUACAUAGAAGGAUGUAAUAUACAACUGGGGGUGUAAUGUACACCAUCUUCCUCUAUGGACUAGAGGAAGAUGUUUGUCUUGUCUUCUCCCAUCUUUACUUUUGUUUUAUUUAUUUACUGGGGAAACAGACUAAGAAAUUUCAAAUGCAAUUUGUCUAAAAGUGAAGUGUUUCAUAAAUGAAAAAACUCAGUCCUUGACAUGAGGAGGUCUUAGGGAAAGCCUCAAAGGAAUGGCUCGGCUCUACACCAAGACUCAUUUUUGGCUUAUUACUAAGAAUUCUUCCUAUUAAAAUUUAAUGCAGUCUUCUCUAGCAGUUCAUUUUGUCUGCCAAGUCCUUUAUGACUAUUUUGAUAAGUUAUUUAUUAACAUAUAGAAGCCACAGUAAUAAACGGAUGGCAUAAGCCAAGGCUCACAGGAUAGAAUGAAAGGGCUAUGUCCACUCCUGAUUUGUCAAGACUACAUCAAUAGAUCCUGUGACAAGCAGCCAUCAUCAAGUGCUGGCCUGAAUGUCACAGCAUCCUGGUACACAGUAGGCACUCAACAUACAGAACGAAUGAAUGAAUGAAUGAAUGACUAUCAAGGGGAAGGGAUCUCAGAAGUCAAAUUGUAAACCUAAGCAUAGUGGAACCAGAGUGCAAUUAUGAUGGGACACAGAUGGGUAAGAAGGCAAGCGGCACAACAUAGUCUACAAUUUAUAUAACCUCUGUAACCCUCAACUUCCUCAUUUCUAAAAUGGGAAUGAUAACAGAAUUCAAUAAGAUAACGUACAAAGUGCUUUGCACAUGUCUAGCAAACAGUGUGUGCUUAAAAUUACGAAGUUACUGUUUCGUAGAUACGGUUCAUAGUUACUAAAGUGAAAAGCACACCAGACUAAACUUAAAAUAAAAAACGUAUAAAGUGGAUGUCACUAGGAGACACUCUGAACCCAAAGAAGUGGAAUAUGUAGGUGUUCUCCACACAAUUUGUCAUAAGUACUGUACUUGAGAAGAAAAGGAUUUUUGGUAAAGUUAAUCACAUGUUAAACUCAGAAGUCUGUUAUCUAAAAAGAACCCAUUAUUUUGCAUGGCUUGUACACCCCUGCUUAAAAACACGUAUUACACUGAAUUACACAAAGACUCCUUUGGGAAAUACAUGACUGUUUGUAUAUGUGAAGGAGGAUCCAUAUUCUCACACAAUGGAGUUGCUUAAAGUGUACUUAUACCCUUACCCAGGUAUAAAUAUACUGGCACUGUGAUGCUCCCCUAGCUACAUCUGGCCAGUCCCUCUAGGAGAGAUGCAUUAUUCUCCUCUAAUUCUAAUUUUUAAAGCAUAGGACAGAGCUGAACUUUCUCCACAUUCUGUUUAACUUAGGCAGUUAUUCAAAAUUCCUCUCUUCUGCAAGCAUCAAUUCUGAACUUGGCUGAAAGAGAAAGAAAUACAGCGAACACAAAAAAGAGAGAAGGAAAAACAGAAUAAACUCUUUUGGCCCUGCCUUAUGUACAAAAAGAAAGAAAGGCUGCUUUUCCUCUUCCCGCCCUGUUCCUAGUGGUUACUUUCAGAAAAAUCUAGAGGGGUGGAGGUGGAGCAGGUUUGGAAGAAGGAAGGAAAGAGGUGGAAGAGAAGGAAGGUAGGGGGAAAAAACAGCUGCAGAAGAAAAGAAGAAAAAAGAGAAGAAAGGAGAGCUGAAACCUGACACUCAGGAACUCAGGGCUGCGGUGAACGAAGUCUCCAACUGAAAACUUGCCAGCCUGGGGAGGCCGAAUGGUUCCAAUCGCAGCCUUCAUUAACGCUUCAUACACUCAGCCCCUAAUUUACAACCGUUUAACGGCAAACAUUCUACAAGCACCUUUGGGGACCUCUGAGGACAGAAAGAAAUCUAAGAGAAAUUAGGUGCCGAGAGAGCUCCCCUCAAAGGCAAGAGCCCUUUCGUGCAAGCAAGCAAUUUAGCACUUUCUUUUUUUGUCUGUUUGGGGCUUUGGGGGUGGGAGUGGAGCGGCGUUGGAGUGGAAGAGACAUACAGCCAGUCAGAAGCUGUGAGGAGGUGCAAAGGGCUGGGGUGCCUAGGUAUGCGGGAGAGAAGGCAGAGGCUUUGUGUCUGUGGCGCUGUUAGGGGCUGUGCACGAGGGUUGUGUGUAAGUGGGUGGACGCAUAUAGAGCUGUAGGCAGGGACUCUUCCCAAACAGCCAGACUCUUGUUCCAGCAAUUUAAAUAAACAAGAACAUCAAAAUAACAUAAAAACCCACUAAAACAAUCAUUGCCAAGUGGUUUCCUGGAGUGCUAAAAUAGAGACCUUUUUUUUUUGGUAAAGGAUUAAGACAAAGUGGCAUAACCUUGAAGUUCACCCCAAGCUGCAGAAACUGAGACCCAGCUAAGGGGCCAGAUGGCUUGGAGGGUGGGGCCCCGCAGCAGUCUUCUCCACAAGCCUUUCUUGUCAUUCUCCUAAGCUUUGCUUCUCUUCAGCCCGUCCCUGUGCGUACUGUGAACAUCACAGGGUUUUAACUCACCGGGGCCUGGAAACUGGUUAGACAGCUUUUGUCCCAAGGCCACAAUGGACAAUCAGUCAGCCAAAGCACAGGAGUCCUGGAAAGAAGACUUGAACUCCCUCUCCUAGACAGGAGAAGGAGAAUGGGAAAAGGGAGGCUAACCAGAUUACCUUUUAACUAACAGCUUUACCUAAACGGAUUAACAGCGAGGAUUAACUUUCACAGGACCACAGAGCUGGAUCACCACUGCUAGGGUGCGUGGCUCAGACGAAGCUGGCCUUGCCCUCAGCCAGGAUCCGGGAAGGAGAAAAGGGCAAUGUCUUGUCUGAACCAAAGUCCUUUUCAAAGGCACUCAAGUCUCCCCAGAAUGGGCUCUGUGGGAUAUUAAUGCCACAGGCUAAGGGCUCCCGUCUUCAGAGCACCCAACUGCAACAUUUAAACCCAUAUGAUCUGUGGGGAAACAGAAUGGAAGAUCAAAGCGAGGCAGGUGGCAGGCAUGGGGGAGAAGGAUCUGAGUUCUACAUAAAGCCAGGUAGAGGCCACACCAUGCCCUGCUCCACAAGACUCAGACGCUCCUACCACAAUUUAAAGUCCCUGCACUCCCUCCUUCCCAGAGCCUCCAGAAAAGAGCGCUUUCCAGGCUUCUCCCACCAGUGAGACCCUAAAACCCUGGCACCCAGGUUCUUCUCCCUUUUCCCAUCAAAUGUGGUGAAAUCCCUGUCGUCUUCACAAUGGGCUUACCUGAGAGCGAAGGAGGCUGGGAAAACUCCUUUCACCACAAGCCAAUGCCUCAGAAAGAACUACACAGUCCCCUGCCACCCCUCUCCUCCUCUUUGUUUUAUUGUAACCAUAGGAGUUUUCUUAGCCCAGCCGCCCCAAAGAGGAUUGCUACUGAAGAGUGACUGCUUGAAUUCACCUCUGCGUUCUGCUAUUCUGAAGGCAGAGAGAUCCCUGAUUUUUAUGAAAUGCAAGCCGUUCUUCAGGUGUGAAGAUCAUAACUGCUGACCCAUCAGAAAUGAUCUGUUUGGAUUAUUCCAGUUUUCGAUCGACCUUGAUCUCCCCAGGUUCACUGUGUGACUAGAACAUGUAUGAAAUGGCUAGACCAUCUUAGGGAUGGAGUCUGUGGCCAAGGAAUACAGUAAAGGAACAGGUCCUCAGCAGGGGAGACCCUACGUGUGUCUCCUAGCCCGGUGCUCUAACCAGGUGACCGGCACUCCUUUAAAUGGGCAUGGUGGUGUCCCAGGCAAUGGGAAACUGCUAAAACUACUGUUUGCCUUUUGGGUGGAGAGAAGGCGUGCAGGCCAACUUUAGUUAAAAAGCAGAAUAGUUUAGGUCCUUCAUAUUUUCAUCACUGUAGUCUAACAUUACAGUGAUGAGACCUCUUGGAUUUUUUCAAGACAGUCCUAACUCAAAUAUUCUGUCCAAAUUUUCUCAUAAUUACACUCACUAUUGUCAAGUCCAACAGACCAAAUGGUGCAUUUAGGAAACAGGAGCCCCAUCUUUAAAGAACUCAACACUGGGACACGUACUUCAGAUUACCAGGAUGAUUCGAGUCUUAGCAUUGCCCCUAAACUGGCAGCUGUGAAUUAAAAUUUGCUCUGAAAAAAGAAUUGCUCAUGAGGUCUGAGUUGCACUACACACUGGCUUCAACUUUGGUUGGCUUGUUUCAAAAGAACACAGAAGCUUUUCAAGAAAAGGGGAAAAAAAUGGGGAAGGAGGUUGCACAAAGCCUGCUCUUUGCUUAGCAAACCAAUAAGAAAAAUAAAAUGCAAAAAGGGCACACGGCAGGCUGUAUUUCCAGGCUUUUUAGAGGGGUACAAUUCAUUUGGUCUAAGUAUCCCCAAGCCUUUCUAUUAGAGCAGGGCAAGAAAAGAGACAAGGGUCCUCACAGCCACCAGCAUCCCAACUGGAUUCCCAGUUAUCCCCACCCAGGCCUUGCCCCUCCCCGACCUGGAGGGACAGUCCCACUCCAGGCAGCUUUUGUAAGUCUCAACACUCACAAGAAAAAUGAUGGGUUUGAACUAUUAACCCUUCCCCAGAAAGGACUGAAAUUAAGAAGAGGCCACUGACAAAAUAUUCACAUGAGAAUACUGUAAAAAAACACCAAGCUAAAUAUUUGCCCAACAGUUCCAGACUCGCCUGAAGAAAGAGAAAAGAAACAAAAAUGGAGGGGGGAGUGGCCAAGCAAUAGAAAGAGACUGGAGUCAAGCUCAAGAUCUAUUAAGAAAGAAUUACACAAUUUAGAGAAAACUGGAGUUGAUGUUGGCAUCAGAGGGGAGCAAGGUUAGGGUGAAGAGUGGUGUUGGACUUGAGAUCUGUACAGUGAGAUGGAAAGGGGAAAAAAAUCAUAUUGAUUAAGCUGCUGGCUGUAACACUCUUUUUUACUGAAAACUCUCUUUGCUGAAAAAAGAGGGAGAAAAUGGAGUCUGGUGUAAAGGAACAGCGUGUUAUCUACCAGCAGGGAGGGGUUGGUCAGCACACAGACCAGGAUUCAAAUUCAAGCUCGGCCACAUACCUGUUGAAGAACCUAGGGCAAGUCACUUUACCUUUUGGAGCCUCCAUUUCUUUUUAUGUGAAAGAAGGAUAAUGAUACCUCUCCUUCCUACCUCCAGGUAGUUUUAAAGGUCAAAUCUGAUCAUAUAAAUGAAAUGCGCUGUAAACUCUAAGGUACUACACAAAUGUCAAGCUAUUUUAGGUAUGAGGCUCUUUACGAAAAAUGUGGCUGCCCAGAUAGCCCUUCAGAAAGUCAAGAAAGAUAAAACAGGCAGAGUAGAGUUGGAAAGGGUGAGCCUGUUGCCCAGAAAGGCUAAGUAAGAAUCAAUAACAAAACCAAAUAUGAUCAGGUUCUCCAAGGACUACUACAUACUGUGGGCUCGAGGCCUCCAAUGAAAGAUCACUAGGCACCAGUUUGCUCAUCAGAAAACUCUAGGAAUUAAACUAGUUCACCUCCAACAGAUGUCUCUUCUAGCCCUAAGAGUGUAUAAUAGGCAUCCGUGUGAGGUGGAGGGGAGAGAUACCCAAAGAAGCCGUAGACAACGGAAGGCAACGGCCUGGGCCCUCUGCAAUGGGCCUUCAUCCCCACCUAAUUCCAGUAGGAAAUUCUCUAUCUCUGGAGGAAAAAGAGAAGGGGGAAAGGAAAAGAGAGAGAAAGGGAAAUGUAUUCUUAUUCUAGUAGUCAGGUUAAACAAACAAAUAGAAACCCAGAUUUGGGAACCCUACAGAAAUGUAUGGCAACAAUUCAGAUCAGUUUCUGCAAAGGCCAACGCUUCUCAAGGGUCUAGAGUUAUAAGCUAGAAACUCCUCUGAGGUAUCAUAUUUAUUAACAUGGCCUCAAGACUCCAAAACAAAGGCCAUGAAAAGUCCAUUCUUAAAUGUAAAGUCCUAACAUGUGAGAGAAACCUAAGGAAUUCAUGGAGGAAAAGUACACACCAGGUCCUGGCUUCAAGGUCACAACUUUAGGAUCAUCAUAGUUGGGGACAUCCAAAUGGGUCCUCUUAAGGCCAUACAAAGAUUUGGGAAAUUCUUGCUCUUUGGCCAGCAAAUUUGGAAGUAUGGUAGAAAAUUAACUCUGUGUUCUCCAAAAGCUCCAUUAUGCAACCAUCAUUCCAACAAAUCGAGAUUGUUGCACGUCUUCAAAGAACUAAGUUAUAUUUUCCAAUCAUCAACCUUCGAGGUCACCAUCUACCUUCUAAGGAGAUGACCAUCCUCCAGGGCAACCAACUCUGUUCCUUCCGCAAAGACAGGGAGAGGAGAGGUCCUUCCUGGACCCUCAGGGGCCACGUAAACCCAUCCUAACUGAAGGAGUGAGAUACCUGCUAUUACGCAAAAGUAGACUUGACUAAAAGCAAUGUUUUCAAAGUUUUUAACUGCCACGACUGCUGCCCAAAAGAAGCCUUAUACUCUUGGGCAAUUCAUAAAACAAAACAAAGCAAAACAAAGACCAACAGUUAGAACUCCUCCCUUAAAGCCUGGGUCCUGGAUCAUGCCUUCACUGAACUUCCAGAACUUCAAGGAACACAAGUGAAGACAAGUCAUUGAUUCAAGUCAGGAGACCCAGUCUCACAUCCCAGCUGUACCACUUAUUUCCUGUGUGGCCUCCGCCAAGACAGUAAACUUCUCUGAGCCCCAGGUUUUUUUAGAGAAGUUGAGCAAUAUAAGAAAUUUAAAAGUUCAGAGGUUUGUAUGGAAACAAAAUUAGGGUGGUACAAGAGGGGUAGAAAUAAUAACAUUUUAAUUCUCAAGACACUAUCAUGUAGUUAGUAUUAUCCUUAUUUUACACAUAAGGAAACUGAAGCCGAAAAGUUAAAUGCUGUUUCUAAAAUCAAGACUAAUGAAACAGAAGCUUCUGCCGCACAAAUAAGUGUUCUUCCCACUAGAUCCACGUUUCUCUCAUAUCCUGGGCAGGUCCACAAUGACUCUGGUGACAUUCAAAGUCAUUAAAACAAGCACAUAGGACGCAGUAAAAAUAGAUGAUGAAAGUGAACCCGCAUGCCAAUAAAACAAAACAUAUAUCCAACUUUCCUUUAUAUUUGUUCUUUAUAAUCCAGUACAAUAGUAAAACUGGGCUGAAACAACUGGCUUUCUUUUACUGGGAAAGUCUACCUUCCAUUUUUCUAAUCUGUGUUCAGGGUGCCAUACUGGACUCCACCAAAGCCCUAAAAAUUAUAAUCUUUGGAGCUCUUUUGUCAGCUGUAUUUCCCUGGAAUGUAUUUUUUUCUAGCUAGCCCAGGCUGGGUGUCUCUUUCUGUCAUUUUUUUCUUAUGAGCCCAUUUGCGGGGACAGGGUCUAAUUCUGCGUUCUUUAGAGCACCUUUCAUACUGCUGUUGAUUAACACUAAAUAAUAAUGAUGUUUAUAACAAUGGCUGUCAAUAAUCAUAACCAUAACCAUCAUCACCAUAAAUAAGAUUUCCCACCAGCGGUUUCUUGAAGCCGGUGAAUAUACAAUAAUCAUAUCAGUUUGGAGAUCACCUGCUAAAAGCAAAGCUGAGCUGGGUGGUGACAAUGAGCAAAUGAAUCACACAUAACAUGCCAAAAGUGGUGAUUAAUAAAUGGCUCCUCUUCUCCUUUACAAAAAACGCUCUCAAAGUCGUCAUCCAGCCAGGUAACUGACCUUGUUUUCCAUUAAGGCUGUUCAGUCUUAGCUUCAAGGGACAUCAUUCAUGUCAUCCUCAACUGCUUUACAGCCAGCUUGCCACCAUGGGACCAUUACUGAAAAUCGCUCGAAUGGCACCGCCCAUUUGGCUCACCAGCGCAAUUCGCCAAGGGCGCUGCUCAUGGUUUCCGGGCAUUUUUAAGGAGAGUCAUGCCCAAGUCCACAGGGUUGUACAAGGGAAGUUCUGAGCAGCAAUGACCCCAUUCCACCGAAGGGAGGUCUGCAAGGCACGAAUUCCAUGGAUUUCCACAUCCCCUAGAGCAAAGCCAUGCUUAGCAAUCAGAAAGCUUUCUCUGCUAUUGAAAGACUACAGAGUAAUUCUGGGGACAGAUAUGGCACUGUCCUAAAGCCUGUUAACAGUGAGUACACUCUCCAAGCCCAAACUAUGGAGUAUAAGACGGAAGAUAGAAAAUUACAGCAGAAAUCGGGUUCUUUUGUCUUCAUAUUGAAGACAGCUGAGUGCAGACAACAUAGUGAAAAGGGCUCUGAAAGGAGGCUUGUUUCCUUUUUGCCAAAUAUUAGCUCCUUAUUAUUCUGCGCCUCAGUGUCCUAAUCUGUAAAAUCAAACGGUUAGACUAAAUGUGCACAGUCCAAUAAGGUAGCCACUAGCUACAUGUGACUAUGGAGCACUUGAAAUGUGGCUAGUCUGAACUGAGACGUGCCGUGAGAGUAAAACACACACCCAAUUUAAAAGACAAUACAAAAAAAGAACGUAAAAUAUCUCAUUACCAACUUUUAUAUGAAUUACAUGUUAAAAUACUAUUUUAGAUAUAUUAAAAUAUAUCUUUUGAAAUUAAUUUCAUCUGUUCCUUUUGACUUUUUUAACAUGGCAAUUGGAAAUUUCACUUUCUAUCUAAAUUUAAAAUCUCUCUCUUUUUCUCAGUGCUGGGCUAGAUGAUUUCUAACCUCUCUCUUACAGCUUUAACAUUCUAUGUUUCAUUUUGUGCUUCUCAGUGAUCUUUCCACAGCAAGUUAGCAGCGGAAUAGGGUUUAAAUCUUUACAGAGACUCAAUUUCCUUAUCUGUAAAAUGGGGGUAAUGCCACCUUUGAUGUGAGAUGCAAUGGGAAAGUGAUUUGAAAUUAAUAAGGUGCUAUAUAAAUUAUUACAGUGAUCACACUACAGUAUUACUUCCAGCAACCUGGAAUGGCAGGUGUAAAGGAAGGGUAAAGUGAGAAGAGUGUUGCUUCUCCCAAAGGCAGAGAACAUCAGCCUAACCUUAAGUUACCAAGCUUAGAGGCAUGAAUAAAGCCUGAGAGAAUCAGAACUGAAACCCUCGAGAGCAAGAGAGAUGCAGCACCGUCACACAGAGCCAAGAGAAGAACCAAGAUAGAAACACUGCCUGCUUUGGGUGUGAAAAGCACGUUGGGCCCCAAAACCCAAGGCACUUCAUACUUCACAGGAGACAAGACGGUGUUUUUUUGACCUAGUAAAAGCUAGAAAGGAAAAAAGAAAAUUAGCAACAUUUUUACAAAGUAGUAGCUAUUGUUUCAUUAUUAUUUUUUUUAGCUCUCCCAACAACUAUUAGAGGUAAGCCGAAUACUCACAUUUUUACAGAUUAAAAAAAGCCUAAAAACGGAAAUAACUUGCCUUGACUCAUGCAUCUGGUAACCACUGAAGAUGGAAUUCACACCCACGUCUCCCUACCUGAUUAAUUCUUCCCAGCAGAAAAAAGGGGAGAAAAUAUGGGGGAGAUUUAGGAUUUCUAUUCUUUUAGGGGCACAGCUUAAGGUCCCCUUCUGAAGUAGUCCUGGAAUCUGGGGUCCACUUAAAAUUGGGAAAAUAGAAGCGAUACCACAGCGACCCACCCACUGUCAAAAUCCAAUAAGAUAAUUGUGUCUGGAUCUAUAAAUAGGUAGGUUGGGUUUAAAAAGAAUGUAAGGGUUGUGUGUUACAAAUGCUGGGAAAGGACUAGAUCCCAGUGUGGGGAGAGGGGAACCUGUCACAACUGAAUGCUCACAAGAAAACCAAGGAGGAGCCUUUAUCAUCAGCGAGGCAAGUGGGGCAGCGGUGGGGGGGUGGGGAGGGGAUGGCGGAGACUGGUGGGGAAGAGGGGGGGAUCCUCAAGGGGCAGAAUUCAAAGCCCAAGAAGGAAGAAGCCCUGACAUCCGGCUGGCCACCUAUAGCCAUUGAUCCUGUACUGUUUUCCAACUUACUGGAUGGAGGCGCCACGCCAAUUCCAGCAAGCUCAUUCCGUUUCAUUUCCCCGACCAGGCUUUACUCUGCCCACAAGCCUCCGCCACCAGCUCCACCACCUUCACACUCUGCUCAGACACUGCUCAUCCUCAAAGCAAUGAGAAACAACGAUCACAACCAUGGUCUCAACUUCUUUCCUUUCUCAACUGACCGUCAGCUUUGCAGACCCUUGAGAAUUACAUGGCCAGCCAGGGACAAUCAUCACUUUGGACAGUCAGGCCACUAGGCAAACUGGAAGCAAUGGAAGCUGCUUUAUGAAUUCCUAUAAACUCAACUGAGAAGGCUGGCAUGGAAGUUUACAAGAUUAAGUGUUUCUAUCCCCUUUCCUAGGACACACAUUGCGACGAGCUGGAAAAGCCUCAUCUAGACUCUCAUACUAAACCCAGGAGCCCUGAGGGGCUCUCGUAGGCCAGGACUCCCCACCGCCCUCGCUCAGAACCAGAGACUCAGAAUUCAACUUGGCUUGAACAAAGACCCUCCUCCUCAUCUCCCUCUGGCUUCCCAACCCCCAUCCCCUUCAUCUGCCUUCCCCGCAGCCACAUUAACUACUCAGAAACACAGCCACUCCACUCUAGAGUUACUCAGGAAUCACAUUCUUAGAAUAACUCAUCAAUUAUACCUGUCAACUUGCCAAAAGUGCCACAGGGGAGGUGGAAAGUCUAGACUGCAUCUAACUGCAGCAGCACAGCACCCCUGUUCGCAGAGGGCCCCCACUUUGCUAAUGGCCUCUACAAGCUCACAAGAAACAAGAAUCCAAGAAAAUGCAGGAGCAGCCAGGUUUGGAAUGUAGACACUAGCACCAAGGUACUCUCAGGCCCAGGGCAGGGCAGGGAUCUCGCCGCUUCUCUCCUUGUAGACUAGGAAAACCUGCACCAGUCUGCUAACAGGAUGUUCCGCCACAAAAAGCCUGGAUUAGGAAAUGUUGAAAAGACAUGUCAUUGUAUUGCUCAAAUAUGCACACAAACUCAUUGUCAAUAAUUGUGCUGCCAAGAAAGCAGCACCAUGACAGACAUACUUUUUAAUUAAUUGGCAAGGAUCAUUAGUAAUUAAAACAUUUAUUGUAUGCAAAUGCUGCUACUAAAUCUUUGGAAAGUUUAUUCUCCAAAGCAGGAUAAAUAUCCCCAUGAACACCAUGUAUGCUACUAAUAGAGUAAGAAAGUCCCCCUCUUUGUUAACCUGUAAAAAGGUAAGCUUUCAUUCAGCUUAGCCUGAAGUGACUCCGAACCCAAGUUAUCUAGGAUCCUAAUUAAUAAAGUUGUCCCUUGAUUCCAAAACUCUGCGAACAGAGCUAUUCUGUAAAAAUACUAGAAAUGUGCUGUAUUUCCACGAGAAGGCACACAACUAUUUACUCAGCUGAUCUCAGGAAGGUUAUCUUAAUCACUCUGUGCCUCAGUUUCCUCACUUGUCAAAUUGAUGAGGAUUUUUAGGCUGGUUACUUUUAAAACUGCAGAUGAGAAGCAGGCUCCGAGGAGCAGAGUUUGCUUGCCCUUUGCUGGGAUACAUUUACAUUUGUAAGGGAAACCUCCAUCUGUAAAGAUGCCUCCCUCUCUGUGCCAGGAAGAAGGGAGAUGACCUUAUCUCUAGAAACUCUUAAUGGGGAAGGCAAGGACUUAAGUUGGUUACUGUCUGGCAACCUCAUGUAACUGAUUUAGGGUGGUGGCUGCUGGCCUUUACUUAAUCCGAUUUGAUUAUUAUCUAAAAGUUGUGGGACCACCCAAUGGCCAGACCCCACCUGCACUGAUAUCAUUUUUAACUUUUUUACAUGUUCUUUCCUUCGUCUUGUAAAGAGAUGGCUCACAUACCUAUGCCUUAAAUUUAGCCUUACUCUCCACCCAUGUUUGCAGCAGCAGUAGUGGGGGCCGCAGCAGCUCCUCCUGCCCGUGGGCCCUGUCCCCACGCAGCAGCUCUUACUGCCCAUGGGUCCUGUCCCCAUGCUAUUCCACACUAUUCUCUAAAUAAAAGAGCACUACUGCCAGAUCUUGAGAGCCCAAGAAAUCUUUCUUUCGACUCCUCAGCUCACUGACCCCGCAUCAAAAUAAUAGCAAUUUCCACCUCAUAGGAUUGUUGUGGUUGUGUAGAUUAAAUGAAAUAACAUCUAUGAACAUAUAUGAACUGCUUUGCAUGAUGAAUGGCACAUAAACCCUCCGUAACUGUUAGAAGUGUCAUCACGCAUUUGAAGGUCUUUUUAGGAUCAGCAAGCAACAUCCCUGCAAAGAGUGGAUUUUGUUCUUUCUUCGGCUUAUAGUUUAUUUAACAAAUCCACAGUCAGGAGGAGAAACAAAACCCAAGCAUCCUGACUCCUUCCGGCAAAUCCCUGUUCAGCCCAACAGGACAUCUCAGCUCCCCGAAUCAUCCAAACUGUGAAGCGCUAGGGGACAGCAUCCACUUUCGGGAGUCACAGAGUUCACUAUGAUUUUAAAGAUUUAAGAGAGGAAAAGGCAAUAGAUCUUCUGUCCACAAUGCCAAGCAAGAUUUCACGCUGUCGUCCUCCCCAUGAAGGCUCACCAAACAUGGCACCUCACAAUUUAACUUCCUCCUCACCAAUUCAGGCCCCAUUUUUCACUUCCCCCCCAGGAGCUUGUUUACCUGGACUCAGCGGGACUGACCUCUGUGGCUCAAGGGGAGCGGGCGGUGGCGAUGGGGAAUCCUGGGCAGGAGUGCAUGAAGCAAGCAGGACAAGUGAGCCAGCCCAGAGCCCCAGAGCGCUAAGAAAACAGCAGGCAGCCCCUAAUGAGGUCGGGACAUCACGGAAGUGUCCUCCUUUUGGCCUCUCCCUUCCCAGUUAGAGCUGGCAGAGGCAUUUCUCGUAUCAGCCUUUGUACAUGAGGCUCCAUGGAAGAGUUAAUACGCUCAUCCUUCUCUGACCAACAAGAGCAUUGCCACAGGGAUAGAAAUCAAAUUCCAGCUCAGUCCGUGGCUCACGAAAAGACCUUGGAAAAGUCACUUCACCUCCCUCCCCAGCAAUUCAAUCCAGGGAACAGGAAUCAGAAAGGCAUUUGUCAGCCCCCUUCCCAUGGUGACAGGUGGAUAAUAUCACCUCCACCCUAAAUACCUCGCAGGGAUGUGAGAGGAUGGAUGAGCCAGCAUUACAGCCAAUAUUCUACUCACCAGCAAUAAACAACUCACCUUUUGGAGGUAAACGGCUCUUUCUAGGGCACCAGGGGAUCAUUUAGCACUCUGGAAGAAGUAAUUUGCUCUAUGGUCCUCUGGUGUCCUGAAAAGUGUAAUCCACCUCCAAAAGGUGAACCCUUAACUCCCAGAGAAUCUGUUUUCUCACAGUAGGAUCAGCCUGCUUCAAUGUUUCCAGCUUCAGGAAAAAAGCACCCGCUAUCAUUUUCCGGUCUCUUCUCUCCCCCCUGCCAGCCCCGUCUCCUUACUGAUCGUCCCAUCCUCUCUUCCCCUCAAACAGAAACCAGAUGAAACCGUCUGCAAACAACUUGGGAAUGCUCAGUGUGUGCCUGGGGAAACUUAAACAAAAAUCCUUUCUGGGGCCGCUACCCUCCUCCGCCGCCUCCUCCUCCCUCCCGGGGUUGUUAAGGGCCCGGCGAGUUAAUGGGAACUUCUCCUUUCUCCUCCCACCCCCACGGCCCCUCUCCGGGCUGGGUCCUCAGCAUUUGAUUCCUGUCUGUCACUGAGUGAUGAGGACAAAGGGUGAGGAGUCAGGAAAAGGUCUGCGCCACUUUGUUCGGAGUCUGGAUGCGAACUUUGGAUGAACUCUUCAUCAGGGAGGGGGCUGGGGAGGAGAGGAGAGGCCAGCAAGGAGAAAUUCGCUGCUCUCUGGGCGCAAGCCUCAAAAAAAAAAAAAAAAAAAAAAGGAGAGCGAAUUCUCUUUAAACAACAGAAAGGAAAAAAAGGGAGUUAGGAGGGUAAAACAAUCUCCCUCCCGCAGCCCCCUUAGGAAAAAAAGAGGGCACCGUGGAGGUAAAGAGGGGAGUGCUGAAGAACACAGAGGGCCGGGCACCGCUCUCCAAUAAGGCUGUGGGCCCAUGCUGUGGGCUGCCAGCCAACAGCCAGUUUUGUUUCUUUCCCCUCCAGCCGGUCUCUUUCUCCCUGUGAUUUUUUUCCCCCUAAACCAAAGGGAAUUCCUAAUAAAGCCACAGUAGACUUGUAGAGAGCAAAGGGAAGGAAAAAGUUACCAGGGAUGGGAAAAGACAGAUCAAACUCAUCUCAAUCUGAAAGUUCAAAAUAAAAUACAGGCAUGCACGUAAAAUCAUGGCACCCCUCACUGCAUGCACAAAUCCACAUGCACAGACCCAAAAAUGUUUAGUCCCAAGUCUCUUUCUCUUUUUCCCCAUCUGUGUACACACAUACCGUUUGCAUGGAGGGGCUGGUGACUUUUCCUGGGUGGCUUUCCCCCCUAACCCUGUACUGUAGCUUUCAAAAAAGCACCAUUAACAUAGGGUUGGAACCACUGCAAAAGCCAGUUUGUCUUCUUUGUGCUCAAUAAAACCCAGCUAAAACUCUUUCACCUCCACUUACUAUUGAUUUUUCUAUUGUACUCUACAGGCGUGCGUAGCUCACUCAUCAGACUGUCUUUCAUUCUGUGAACCUCCCUGACCACAUCUGGACGUGAGGUUUUUCAGCUCCCAGGGAUGGGUAUUACUGCUCCAUUCAAUCAUUGUGCGCCCGCAUGCAAUCAUGCAGUCACUUUGGGUCUGGCCUCUGUCCUUUGGUCUUUGCCUCAGCCUCUGAAUUUCAAUACCCCAAAAAUCAGGUGUCCAUCCCAGCACGGAGGAAUGAGAGGUGACAAGCCCUCCUGCAUCCCCAGGGCUCUCUCCCCUCUCCUCUUGCACAUCAGAAGUGGGCUUAAGUGACUGGGUGGGAGAUUCACACUACCAGGACUAGAAGGGGGUGGGGCGAUGUUGCUACAACAUCUGGCACUUCGUCUCUCCACCUCUCCUGGGAACACCUCCUGUAGUGUAUGUGAGGCUGUUUUCCCGAAGCAGAAGUCCCGAACUGCUGCAAAUGGGAGUCUGUGUCUUCGCCUUAACUUCACAAAAAAAACCUGGUGAUGAAGAGAGGCAGAUCGACGGACCAAUGAGGUGAUCAGUCAUUAACGUUUGGAGGAACCUGAGUUAGUAGUGAAUCUGUGUACUGAAAACCUCUCAUUCUGCAUUCUAUGAAUAGGAAAAUAAACUCCACCCACUGAACAAGUGCAUAUGAUGUAAGAAAACCAAACACACAAAGAUCAACAGCUAACAACAAAAAAAGGCAGAUAAAAUGUUGCAUGAGUAUUCACAUGACAAACAGGGCUCUUCCCUGUGCAAAAGGGGUGUUCUAGGCCCAGCCCUGGAAGAGACCUUAUUAAUCAUUCAAAUGUAACCUCUUCCUUUAAAGAUGAGGCAGUCAAGACCCCAGAGUUCAGCAACUUCCCCAAGUCAUCAGUCCCUGUAAUACCCCCAUCCGUGUUCUUUCCAUCACACAUAUUGCUUCCACGAAGCUAAGGAGUGUACUCAAAUAAAGGACACAGUUAUGAAAACUGGACCCACCUGCUUUUCAGGAAUACAUCCAUACAAAGUGACAGACAUCGGUACCCCUUACCUGAAGAUACAGCAGGAGCUGUAGCAUCCUAUGGCCUGGUGUGUGAAACCAGGGAACGUGAAAUAGGGACACACAGAGGGCACACACACAAACAAGCCGUACUUGCUAUGUCCCUUACGUACUUGGUCAUGCACUUCAUCCUUAGAACUCAGAGCUGUUGCUGAAAUUAGGUGUGGGGUUUAUGAGGUCGACACUCAAGUUUCAUUCUCCAUCCCAAAUCCUGGUGGACUGUGGCCACUGUUCUCUCUGCACGCAGGUAACCUCUAUUUUCAAGCUCCCCCUGUGUAUAACGGUCUCAAUACGCCAUCAUCUAACUCUCAAUCACACCUCGCUGUUCAACCCUCGUGGGAUCUCCAGCUCCAUAUUCACUGCAUGCCCCACCAAUUCUGUGUUCAACAAGAUUUCUAAAUCUAUGCCGUGUUCUAAAUCAGCCCUCCACAUGCCUGCCAGUCUGUGACUCCUUUUUCUGGCUUUGAUUUUGCAAGUGGUUGUGACAGUACAGGUUAGAGAAGAAGUCUUAGAGUUGUGUUAUAAGCCACUCAAGCUUUAUAGUUUACAAAGCAUUUUACACCCAUAUCUCACUGGAGAUUCACAACCACCUUGGAGGUGGACGGGGCCAGACUAAUGAGUGUAAUCAGUGCCCAGAUUUCAGAUGAGGAAACUGGCCUGAGUGGCAGGCCCCUCAUUUCCAAUCUACCCCACAGUAGAACAGGCCCAUAACUGUUCCCCUGCAUCAUGAUGCUGCUGCAAAUGGGCUUGGAUGUUUCCGUUUUGCUUUGGAAAUGAAGAGGGAAAAACAUUUACUGAACACUCACCACGUGCCUAGUGCUGUGUUUGAUGCUGGUUCUUACAACAGGGAUAACCAUAGCAUCUCCACCCAUGAGCAGCUUCCUCAAGGCCAGCAAUGAAAUACAUGCACCUGUAUCUUCAGUAGAUAACACCCUCUGUUCUUCUUAUUCCUAUUUGUCUGAAUACAUCAGAGCAAUCCCUCCACCAGUGUAAACUCCUAAACAUAAGAGGAGGGUGUUGGGUGUACUUUCCUAUUUGGUUUGACGUAUGGAUUUGCCAGUAAGAUUAUGAGAGUGAUCAUCACUAUUUAUGGUUCUUUCAAUAUCCUAAAAAAUGCUCUAAUUUCCCGAGGUGUGAGUCUACCACAUGCUUCUCGAUGUCCAGCAGAGUUGUACUGCCAGGUUCCCAGACUUCUUUUCUCUCUCUUUUACUUAGUACUCCAGGAAGAAG
ensembl:lncRNA